UCAUUUGCAGAUUACAUUUUUAGUUUAGAAUGUGGUACGCGAUAAAAAUAGGGUGCGGCAACACUGCAAAACGGAAAUAUGUAAUGGCGUCGCCCUGUGAGGAUUCCUCGCCUUGUGUGAUAGAUAUUGCUCGACAUGAACCGUGAAUAAUUAUUAAAAGUGAUUGAAAACCUAUCAAACUGGGGUGGACUAAAAGGGCCACAGGUAAUCGUGAAGAGGUGAAAGUUUGGAGGAUACGUUUGAAUAAGAUAAGUACACAGUUAUUGCCAAUAGUUUACAAAACGAAAGUGUUGGUUGCUUAUUUGUGGUCGGGAUGUAGGAUUCGAAUCGAUUUUAAUCGAAGAUCAAUCUUUUACCCAGAAAAUCGAUCAACAUAUUUUCAAACUAGGUAUAUUUUAAAGUAGGUAUAUUUUUAAAUGCAAUACAUACAUACAAUUACAAUACUGUAAUUUUUUUACUUCAGUGAUUUUGCCAUUGCAUUUCCAUUCCAAAAAUGCCAUAAUGUCAUAUACUUAGUGGUUUUUUGCAAUAUAACUGUUUUUAAACUAAAUUUACUGCUUAUUUAAAGCCCUCUGAAAAUUCUAAAUCCGAAUAAUUUUAAACAUUUUUAAUUGGAUAUAUUGUAUAAUGUGUUUGGUAUUUGGUAUACCAUGUGUUCUUCAAAAUUCAGCCUACCAAAAUGUGCAUUCUUAUUUGUUAUAUACAGGGUGAGUCAAAACUUAAUGUUGUAUUUUUCUCCACUAUUUUAAAUUGAACGCCCUAUAUUUUGUAUCAUAAUCCAACAGAAUUUUAUGUAGUCUUUUCAUUUUAUUAAGCACUUCUUAUACCUAAAAGUGUCAUAUUAUCUAUCUCUUACACUCUAGGCUUUCUGUCACAUGAUAAAUAUUAAGCGUAUUUAUUAAUCCAUUACAUUUAAAGGUAGCCUCAUUAGAAAAUAAGAUUUUAGUUAAAAGCCUCUGUGAACUGUAUUAAGCAUAUGUAUUGUGAAAUUAGUCAUCCUGUUGAUAAAGUAAUUUAGAUUUUAAUGCAGUUCCAAUUGAUACGGAUGAGAUUUAUGUGUUUUUAUAGUUCUAUUAACACUACUCUGAGAAACGUCUGUUUUAGUUGAUAUUGCUGGAGAGGAAGUGUUAGAAUUUUCUUCGAUACAUUGUCCAUACUAUCAAACCUUCAUUUUAAUUUCUUGAACACGGAUAGUUGAGUUGCCCUUAAAUCUGGAUGUCUUUGAUGACAAAUUUUUCUUGCUAUUUAAAAAAAAUAGCUGCCCUAAUACAAUAAAUCAUAUUUUUUAUUAAUUUGUCACGUGAAAAACUGAUUAUUGAGUUAAUUAAAAAGGUUGUUCUACUUUGCUGUAGAUAGGUAUGAUACUUUUAAUAAUAAACACCUUAAAACAACAAAAUGCGCGUUUCCAUUGCCACCAUAUUAAGCAAAAAAAAUUAAAAUGAUAUGUCAAACCAUAAUUCUCAUAUAGAGCUUUUUCGGAAGCCUGGGUCAGCCUAUUAAAAAACGACAGCUGAUCUUGAAUCAAGAGAAGUUAUCUGUGUUUUUGCGACACCACAUGACGAUUUGGAUGUCUAUGAAGCCCUUUAGUUAACAAUUAAUUAAAUAACCAUACACAUAACAAUGUGUACGACAUUUCUAUAGAAAAGCUUAGGUGCUUCUAACAGGUAUUGCGAUAUGUAAUUUUAAGAUUGAGUAAAAUUAGUGAAAUAUCAUAUACAGUAUAGUAUCACUAAUCGAAAUUAAUAUAUCGUCGUCGUAAAGUCAAAACAUUGUACCUAAAAACAUACAUGUUUUCACAAACUAGAAAAAAACAUUUACAAUUUUUAAUGAAUUGUGAAAUAAGGUUAUAUUUUGUAACAAUUUUUAAAAAUAGUAAACAAAUUAGGUGGUAGGUGGUGGUGUAAUAGAUACUAAAGUAAUAACUGAAACUUAAGAAAAUAUAUUAAGAUACGACUAACGAGGUUUUGACUACAACGACGAUAUGUUUUUUUGACUUGUUAAAACGAUGAUACAAAUAAUUUAGAAUUAUUUAUUUCAGUAUGACAGCAUUGUUAUAUCUUAUUAAUGAGAUUAUUUUUUUCACUAAUUAAUGUGAUGUAUUUUAAUAAACUAAAUUCUACAAAGUUAUUUGGUAUAAUGGUAGAUUACCUAUAGAAUAAAGUCAAUAAUUCAAUUUAAAAAG